rnacentral:tRNA from 1 species
GACUCGGUAGCUCAGCUGGUAGAGCAACGCCCUUUUAAGGCGUGGGUCCUGGGUUCGAGCCCCAGCCGAGUCA